ACCUACUUGAUCAAAAGAGUGGGAAAACCCCGGAAUCACGUAGACCCACUUGGGACCGAGUAUUGCAAUUAUUGGUCGCGCAACGAGGAAUGUCUCGUAGGCGCAGCUCAUCAAACUGUGCCGAUUACGUCCCUGCCAUUUGUACACACCGCCCGUCGUUGUUUCCGAUGAUGGUGCAAUACAGGUGAUCGGACAGUCGAGUGCUUCACUUGACCGAAAGUUCACCGAUAUUUCUUCAAUAGAGGAAGCAAAAGUCGUAACAAGGUAGCUGUAGGUGAACCUGCAGCUGGAUCAUUUU